UACUAACCCGCCGGUUGACAGAGGCUUACCCGGGGUUUCCUUGAAAUCUACAAAAUAACAAAUAACACGAAUAUUUACACGAGGUCUCACGAGGUUUAUUAAGGUCACUGGUUGCUAGACACCUUCCCUUCCGGAAAGAUCGCUGGUUUACGUGGAUUUCGAAGAAAAGAUCGCUGAAGGACUCGACCGCAACUCGACCGUCAUUAGCUAAGUUAUUCGGACAUCUGGCUAAACACGCUGGCAACUUACCAAGAACCGCCAUCACUGGCUUAUCACUCGUCUUGAACUGCGGCUUAUAGAUAACGUUGAGUGCCAC